AGAUUGGAACACCAUGGGCUGAUGGAACAGAAGGAGUGACACAAUGUCCUAUUGUGCCAGGGGAUACUUUUAUAUACAAAUUUGUUGUUGAUAGGGCUGGAACAUAUUUGUACCAUGCUCAUUAUGGUAUGCAAAGACAAGCAGGACUACAAGGAAUGAUGAGAGUAUCAUUACCUGAUGGAGUUUUAGAGCCAUUUUCAUAUGAUCAUGAUAGGAGUAUUCUUCUCACUGAUUGGUACCACAAGAGCACUUAUGAACAAGCAACUGGUCUUGCUUCAUUGCCUUUUUCUUGGGUUGGAGAACCUCAGUCAAUCUUGAUUCAUGGAAGAGGAAGAUUCAAUUGUUCUAUUCCGACCAUAGAUCCUACUCUUUGUAAUGCUACAAAUCCUCAAUGUACACCUUAUUCAAUGACUGUGGUUCCUGGCAAGACUUAUAGGCUUAGAAUUGGCAGCUUGACUGCUCUUUCAGCUCUAAGUUUUGAAAUUGAGGGGCAUAACAUGACAGUUGUUGAGGCAGACGGUCACUAUGUGGAG
rnacentral:misc_RNA from 1 species